CAGCCGCCGCGGUAAUACAGAGGGUGCGAGCGUUAAUCGGAUUUAAUGGGCGUAAAGCGUGCGUAGGCGGCUUUUUAAGUCGGAUGUGAAAUCCCUGAGCUUAACUUAGGAAUUGCAUUCGAUACUGGGAAGCUAGAGUAUGGGAGAGGAUGGUAGAAUUCCAGGUGUAGCGGUGAAAUGCGUAGAGAUCUGGAGGAAUACCGAUGGCGAAGGCAGCCAUCUGGCCUAAUACUGACGCUGAGGUACGAAAGCAUGGGGAGCAAACAGGAUUAGAUACCCCUGUAGUCCCUGUCUUUUAUAA
rnacentral:rRNA from 1 species